rnacentral:tRNA from 1 species
UGGUUCAAUGGUUAAACGCUUGGCUGUUAACCAAAAGGUUGGUGGUUCAAACCCACC